UACGUAGGAGGCGAGCGUUGUCCGGAAUCAUUGGGCGUAAAGAGCGUGUAGGCGGCUAUUUAAGUCCUGCGUGAAAUCCUGCGGCUCAACCGCAGACGGUCGUGGGAAACUGGAUGGCUAGAGUGCGGGAGAGGAGAGUGGAAUUCCCGGUGUAGCGGUGAAAUGCGCAGAUAUCGGGAAGAACACCCGUGGCGAAGGCGGCUCUCUGGAACGCAACUGACGCUGAGACGCGAAAGCGUGGGGAGCAAACAGG
rnacentral:rRNA from 1 species